AUUGAACGCUGGCGGCAGGCUUAACACAUGCAAGUCGAGCGAGCGGCGGACGGGUGAGUAAUGUCUGGGAAACUGCCUGAUGGAGGGGGAUAACUACUGGAAACGGUAGCUAAUACCGCAUACCAUCAGAUGUGCCCAGAAGGGAUUAGCUAGUGGGUGGGGUAAUGGCUCACCUAGGCGACGAUCCCUAGCUGGUUUGAGAGGAUGACCAGCGACAUGGAACCUGAAACACGGGCCAGACUCCUACGGGAGGCAGCAGUGGGGAAUAGUGCACAAGGGACUCAAGCCUGAUGCAGCCAUGCCGCGUGUGUGAAGAAGGCCUUCGGGUUGUAAAGCACUUUCAGCGAGGAGGCGUUACUCGCAGAAGAAGCACCGGCUAACUCCGUGCCAGCAGCCGCGGUAAUUC
rnacentral:rRNA from 1 species